GCCUGCUCCCAUUGUGGGUCUGAAACAGCUUCUGCAAGUUGGAGCCUGAAGUGACCCAGUAUCUCACCCUGCAUUUGCCGCCCACUUUGUUCCCACGGGAAACAGGAAGGUGAGGGUGCCAGUGCAUGGGUGUAGAUGCCAGGUUUCCCGACUGCUCCAGCGUGUCUGCCUUGCCCUGGCCAUGCCAUCUACUGCUGCUCGCUUCAUUGGACCCCAACGUACGGUGCUAGCUGUUGGAGUAUGAACAACCAGAAAAAUAAAGGCCAGUCUUCCCCAGGCACAGCAUCCAGCUUGGGAGACACAAGAUGUUCCAGCGGAGGCCUUGAAGAGCACUGCCAUAUUGUCCCGCACUGGGCUCAGGUCACUUUCCAACUUUUACCUUCUAGAAGGAACUGGAAUGGAGGGACGAGAUGAACCAGGGCUCUCAGGGGCAGUAGACAGGAUUGUGUCCUGCACAGAGGAGUGCUUUUCUUACAAUGCUAGAGAGAGGUAGGGCGUGCACAGUGUGAUUCAUAGUUUCGAGGAAAACCAGACAACAUUCAGAACUUCUAUGGGAAAUGAAGCUGGAUGAUGAAAUGUAGCCACUGGUAAAAUAAAAGCAGGCAAAGAAACCCCACUAUGGGCAGACAGAUACAUAUACGGGCACCUUCAUCAGUGGAACAGGCCAGAAGUGGGGGCGUGGGUGGACGCUUAUUGGGUGAACAGCUUUCCGUGCUAGGAUCUGGCAUGGAAACAUCAACCACGCCUUUGUGUAUUGGGGGAUCCAGUCGUGAUUUGAAUGCCUAACUAGGAAGGGCUCUUCUCUGUCAUUUCACCAGGGGCAGACUGGGCAUGUGCCCUACCCAUGCUCCUUGCUCCCCACUAUUUUAGUGCACGGGGACCUGAUGUCACAGCCAGCACCUACCUGGGGGCUUUCUCUGGCUGCUGGGGCCAUGAGACAGCCAUGUUCCUCCCCUCCUGCUGGUCCCCCCACUUCCUAAGAAACAGAUAUAUCCGGACUGAGAAACGAGGCAGGUAUACACAAAGGCAAGCUAUUUGUCAUUUUCGACAAAAAGGAUAUCAAAAAGCAACUUCGCUUAUUUUCAAAAUGACUGAAUCAAACCCAAUUCUGUCAGCUCAUUCUUUAUGAGAUGUCAAAACCCGAGCACGCUUCAUCCACGUGUCCAGUGAGGAAACACCAUAAUCGGGGCGGCAUCAUGGGCUGCAUUCUCAGCUUGCCCUGCUCCUCUCCUUCUCUGCCCGGACUGGCUCUCACAGAUGGAUGACAAAGAGCCCUGGAGAGUGGAAUUACUCGGCUGAAGCCACAGAACAUGGGCCAGCAGUGAGAGCAGAAUUCAGAUGGUAUUGUAUCUAAAACACAGGACUUGGCUUCUCACAGUUCAGGACAACAGGGAGAAUUCCAGGUUUCUGUGGAGCGAUUGAAUCCUACCAUCAGGGCACACAGGGAGCUCCACAGACAGCUCCCUGCAGAGAGGCAGACUCUGCUUUGCUGAUGGCUCUGAAUGCUUCUGGCUCCCCUCCAAAGGGGUCCCAGCUUAUGCCCAGCUGGCAUGUCUGUGCUUUGGAGGUCAAGGCAUAUGAGCCCACAGACUGGCAUAUUUGAGUGAGGGUUACAGAGGUAGUGCACCUGCCGUGUCCUUUAUCUGCACCCCAGCAAGGAGGGUUAGGUCAUCAAAGCUGGGAAGUGUUCUUGCAGGGGAGCUGCCUUGUGCCCACUGGGAGAUGGCAAGCCCUGAAUGCCUCAGACCAACUUGAAUGGCUCUGGGACCCAGCAGCGGGGAUGAUAGAUUGGCAUAAAGAUGCAUGGACAAUUGACCACAUGGUGCUGAAACCUUCGGGCAACACCUUGAUACCAGGAUCCCAUGGCAGGUAGGGAAAGCUCUCAGUGCUCAGGUCCUGGUGCUGGGCAUGAAAACACACACAUGCCACCCUGAGCCCUACACACGUUGCCUGGAUUCUUGGAUUAGAGCCACUGUCUCUCUCCUCUGAUGAUGUCUCUCCAGCAGCCUUUCUUCUCUGUGUGCAGGUGGGGUCUAUCCAGCAUUGCUUCAUCUCUGGGUCUUUGCAAGGGUGCGGGGACCUAGGACAUGCUAGACAUUUCUUCCUUCUGGAGGGUUCCUGGUGACUUCCCUGCCAGAGAAUCACCUAGGGCAAAAAUAAUAACCAUAAAUCAUUAGAACUGUUAUUCAGUAAAUGUGAGAUUGUAUUCAUACCACUAAUCGUGGAACCACAGACUUACCACCUACUAUGCCAAGCGCUUUACUGAGUCAUCUCAUUUAAUCCUCAUGGCUCUGUGGAUGUGACACCAUUUACAUGUAAGGAAACUGAAGCCCAGAGAGGAACGGUGUUUGCCCAGGGGCACGUGGCUAGUAAGUGGCACAUUUUGACUAGUGGUUGAAACUACAGAAGAUAGGGGCUAUUAUUCCCAUCUUGUGCUAAGUCAGUGGAGCUUGGGGAUGCCCACUGAGAUGCGGCAAGGCAAAGGCAGCAGUCCUGGCCUUGGGAGACUGGGCUGAGACCCAGCGCUUCCUCCUGCUCCUGGACAGUCUCCCUGGUUGCAAACCCUCAUCCCAAGGGUUCCUGGGUGUGGACCUAAAUACACCUAGCACUGGAGGGUUCUCAACCAGUGCUUGUGAGGUCUUCCUUUCCAGUUGUAGUCUAUACUCCUCAGGAAUCUUCAGAAUUCCCCAGUCAGCUUCCCAAAGGAAAUUAAAUUUUCCCGGAAAAGCAGGCUUAUCUAUUCAAAUUAAAUGACUUCUUUUCAAACAACUGUGAUGUCAUUGUUCUCAUUUUUCUGAAGAAUUAGAUCUUGACAAGUUAGGCUAAAUAGAUCAUUUUUAUUUCUAUCAAAUUAUAUUGUCUAAAUAUGGCUAAAUUGUUACGACAACUUACUGGAAUCACUGAGGAUGCUGUUAAUGUCAAAUGGAACCUGAAAUCAUCCACACCAGCUGUGUGAGCAUAAUUUAGAGACUUGUAUUUCAUGCUCAGAGCUGUCCCUGGAGAUCAAAUGUGUGAACCCGAUCCUGCUGAAAACUCUGUUUCCCUCCAUGAUUUAUCUCUUUCCAAAGGCUGGUGAGUAGCCUUUGCUUAUCACGGCCAGUGUCAAGAGGUGAGCACAAGUUAACCUCAAAAACAACAUUCAGCCCAGCCAAGUUUUCUAUAAAUAUGGUACAUGAUUAAUUAUGUCAGAAGACUAUUUACUAAAUGUGGAAAAAUCAAUAACACUCUAAGAAGAAUGUUUACCCAGCCUAGGAUCCAAACAAACACUCUAAAGCCAGGGAAGUUUUUGAAAAAUACAAGCUCCGUGUCUCCAGCAAACAUAAGGGAGGUUUUACUCCUUUUCAUUUUUGCCUUGGCAGGGAUGGGCCCUGGGGGUGUGGGCUCUGUCUCUGCUCAUUGCAAUCAGAUUGACAUGACUGUUGUCCACUGAUGUCGGCCACGUGUCAGCCCCUGCAGGAAGCACUUACCACUAGGACCUCUUUUAAUUUAAUCCCACUGACAGGACAGCGGCAUCAUGACUCUUAUCCUCCCUGUUUUGUAAACUAAGAAACCAAGGCCCCAAGAAGUGAAAGUGUUGGUCCCAAUCCCAAAGCCAGCAACUGGCUGAGGCCCCAGUUCCAGUUGCGGGAGUAGAGUCAGGGUGGUCUCAGGCCACCGUGUCCUGGUGUGAUAGGAAUUCACUGUUCCUGCCAGGUGCUUUUCUGAGCUUCUUUUAGGUAUGCACUCUCUUAGCCCUCACAAAGCCCUGUGAGAGUCGGAGACAGCUGAGGGUGUGGAGUCACAGAUAGCUGUACCAUAUAACAGUGGACAGAGUGGCUCAGACGUGACCUUAGUCACACAGCUGUAAGUCACAGAGUGGGAUUGUAACCCAGUGCAGACAGGUUCCAGCCUUUCUCUCUCUCUUUUUUUUUUUUUUUUGAGACAGGGCCUGGCUCCAUCUUCCAGGCUGGAGUGCAGUGGCUUGAUCACUACAACCUCUGCCUUCCUGGUUCAAGCAAUCCUCCUCCCACCUCAGUCCUCCGAGUAGCUAGGACUACAGGCACACACCACCACACUCCACUCAUCUUUUCUCUUUUUUUUUAAGUAGAGAUGAGGUCUCGAACUCCUGGGCUCAAGUGAUCCACUCACUUUGGCCUCCCAAAUUGUUGGGAUUAUAGGCAAGAGCCACUGCCCCCAGCCUCUAUCCCUCUCAAUGCAGGACAGAUGGUCAAUCGAUGAGCCUCCCCCAAGGGCAGACGGGUGUCCUCGAGUGGGGUUGCCUGCAGCAAUCCUGGCAUCUUUGUGCCCAGGGUGAACCUUGUAGCACCCCUCACCUCUGUACAACACAAUGACUUUCAG
rnacentral:lncRNA from 10 species